AAUCCGUCGACUUUAGAAAUCGUGAGA
rnacentral:tRNA from 1 species